GAAAUGGCUGCGCUAACCCGCGAAGGGAGGCAGGUCCUUAAGGAGUGAUUGGUAACUGGGGUG
rnacentral:rRNA from 1 species